rfam:Ricinus communis cultivar Hale ctg_1100012359245, whole genome shotgun sequence.
AAUCCACAGUGCGGGCAACAUACUCUCGUCAUCCUUGUACCUUUCGCAAGCAUCAUACAUGCUCUCGUCAUCGAAUUGUAGAGAAGAAGAUAUGUCAUUUCUCAAUUU